rnacentral:misc_RNA from 1 species
GUGAAUCAUCGAAUCUUUGAACGCAAAUUGCACUCUCCGGUUUUCCGGGAAAUUAUCCUUUUUGAAGGGUAAUCCUAAAAAAAUUCGUCUUUGUUGCGGUUUUAUGGUUAAUUUCUUCGGAGAUGGUUUAUCUUAAAUCUCGUUUUAAGCGACUUAAUUAUUUUUUUUACGAUUCUAAGUUUGUUUCUAAGAUUUCGCUUGUACGUUUAAGGUAUCUAUUGUCUUAUUAGACCUGGACGUCAUAUCGGAUCGAGUCCAU